GCGGCAAAAGCUCAAAUUUGAAAUCUGGCGUCUUCGGCGUCCGAGUUGUAAUUUGAAGAAGGCUACUUUGGAGCUGGAGUUUGUCUAAGUUCCUUGGAACAGGACGUCACAGAGGGUGAGAAUCCCGUGAGAUAAGCUUCCCAGUUCUAUGUAAAGUGCUUUCGAAGAGUCGAGUUGUUUGGGAAUGCAGCUCUAAGUGGGUGGUAAAUUCCAUCUAAAGCUAAAUAUUGGCGAGAGACCGAUAGCGAACAAGUACAGUGAUGGAAAGAUGAAAAGAACUUUGAAAAGAGAGUGAAAAAGUACGUGAAAUUGUUGAAAGGGAAGGGCUUGAGAUCAGACAUGGUAUUUUGUAAACCUUCUCUCUCGUGGAGGGGGCCCCUUGCAGUUUACUGGGCCAGCAUCAGUUUGGGCGGUAGGAUAAUGACUAAGGAAUGUGACUUGCCUUCGGGGAAGUGUUAUAGCCUUGGUUGAUACUGCCAGCCUAGACUGAGGACCGCGUCUUUGACAAGGAUGUUGGCAUAAUGAUCUUAAGCCACCCGUCUU
rnacentral:rRNA from 1 species